rnacentral:rRNA from 1 species
GAUGAACGCUAGCGGCAGGCCUAACACAUGCAAGUCGAGGGGCAGCACGUCUUCGGAUGGUGGCGACCGGCGCACGGGUGCGUAACGCGUAUGCAACCUACCUCUUACAGUGGGAUAGCCCAGAGAAAUUUGGAUUAAUACCGCAUAGUAUACAGAUUCAGCAUUGGGACUGUAUUAAACAUUUAUGGGUAAGAGAUGGGCAUGCGUUCUAUUAGUUAGUUGGAGUGGUAACGGCACCCCAAGACAGCGAUAGAUAGGGGCCCUGAGAGGGGGAUCCCCCGACACUGGUACUGAGACACGGACCAGACUCCUACGGGAGCAGCAGUGAGGAAUAUUGGACAAUGGGCGAGAGCCUGAUCCAGCCAUGCCGCGUGCAGGAAGACGGCCCUAUGGGUUAGUAAAC